AUUGAACGCUGGCGGCAGGCCUAACACAUGCAAGUCGAACGAGUGGCGGACGGGUGAGUAAUGUCUGGGAAACUGCCUGAUGGAGGGGGAUAACUACUGGAAACGGUAGCUAAUACCGCAUACCAUCAGAUGUGCCCAGAUGCGAUUAGCUAGUUGGUGGGGUAACGGCUCACAAAGGCGACGAUCCCUAGCUGGUCUGAGAGGAUGACCAACCACACUGGAACUGAGAAACGGUCCAGACUCCUACGGGUGGCAGCAGUGGGGAAAAUUGCACAAUGGGGGCAAGACUGGUGGAGCCAUUGCGCGGGUAUGAAGAAGGCCUUCGGGUUGGAAAGUACUUUCAGCGGGGAGGCGUUACCCGCAGAAGAAGCACCGGCUAACUCCGUGCCAGCCGCCGCGGUAAUAC
rnacentral:rRNA from 1 species